AUGGCCUUGGCAGUCAAAGCAAUCACAGCUAGCUAUCUGAAACUCAAUAACAGCACCAAGAUGCCCACCCUGGGCCUGGGCACCUGGAAGUCUCCUCCUGGCCAGGUGACUGAGGCUGUGAAGGUUGCUAUUGACAUGGGGUAUCGCCACAUUGACUGCACCCAGGUGUACCAGAAGAAGGUAGGAAUGGCCCUCCAGAAGAAGUUCAAGCAGCAGGUGGUGAAGUGCCAGUCAGCAAGCUGUGGUGCACGUUCCACAAAAAGAGCAUGGAGAAAGGAGCCUGCCAAAAGACACUUGGCGACCUGAGGCUGGAUCUCUACCUUAUUCACUGGUCAAAAGGCCUCAAGCCUGGCCCGAUUAUUUCUCACUGGACGAAUCAGGAAACGUGAUUCCUAGUGACAUGAAUUUUGUGGACACUUGGACAGCUAUGGAACAACUAGUGGAUAAAGGUUUGGUAAAAGCAAUUGGUGUCUCCAACUUAGCCAGAUCAAGUGCCACCCAUACCUAACUCAGGAGAAGCUGACUGAAUACUGCCAUUGCAAAGGCAGCAUGGUAACUGCAUACAGUCCCCUUGGUUCUCCUGACAGGCCCUGGGCUAAGCCCAAAGAUCCAUCUCUCCUGGAAAAUCCCAGGAUCAAGGCAAUUGCAGCCAAGUACAAUAAAACUACAGCCCCAGUGCUGACACCAGAACGCAUUGCUGAGAACGUUAAGGUCUUUGACUUUGAGCUAAGCAGCGAAGACAUGACCACUCUAUUCAGCUACAACAGGAGCUGGAGGGUGGGUGCCUUGAUGAGCUGUGCCAAACACAAGGAUGACUCCUUCCAUGCAGAAGUCUGAAGCUGAGGAGGACAGAUCCCUGCUCCUCCCCAAUCAACUUACAUCUGUUCUUUCUGCCUCAUCUGCCCUUGCAAGUGUCCUGUGGCCUGUGUCCCUCUGCAAUGGGUGGCACCUUGCAGAUCAGAUGGUGAGAGUUUGUUAAUUUGACAUAGAAUCUGAAGGGCAGUACCAGUAGCUGAGGUGUUUCUUCCAGCCUUUCUUGGUCUUUCUUCUUACCCACUUGGAGGACUUUAACAUGAAUACCCUUUCCAACCAAAGAUAAGCAAGAUUUAUAGCCCAAGUUGUACCACUAACACUUAAAUUUGAGUGCUUAAAGAACUGUAAUCCUAUGGGUUAGACUUCUCCUCGCCUCAAAUAAAAACUGCUUUGG